rnacentral:rRNA from 1 species
AUAUCAAUAAGCGGAGGAAAAGAAACCAACAGGGAUUGCCUCAGUAGCGGCGAGUGAAGCGGCAAAAGCUCAGAUUUGAAAUCCGGCGUGGUCCCCUCGCCCGAGUUGUAAUCUGGAGAGGAAGCCCCGGUGAGGCCGGCCGUCCAAGUUCCUUGGAACAGGACGUCUCAGAGGGUGAGAACCCCGUACCCGGCGCUGCUGAGCCGCGUGGGGCUCCUUCGGCGAGUCGAGUUGUUUGGGAAUGCAGCUCAAACUGGGUGGUAAAUUCCAUCUAAAGCUAAAUAUCGGCGGGAGACCGAUAGCGCACAAGUA